GCCCAGCACCGAAGCCUGUGGUUAUUUGACUGCAAGGCAAUGUGGUGUUUAGGUCGCUUCGCAGAGAUGCCGCUUUACCCCAAGUCCAGCAAUGAGUAUGGUAAACCGGACUAGGCCCACAGAGGGUGAAAGGCCCGUGGGGGUAAAGUUCAUGCAAGUCGGUAUUUCUCUGAGUCGACCUUGGAGUCGGGUUGUUUGUGAAUGCAGCCCAAAGUGGGUGGUAAACUCCAUCCAAGGCUAAAUACUUACACGAGUCCGACAGUAAACAAGUACCGUGAGGGAAAGUUGAAAAGUACUUUGAAGAGAGAGUAAACAGUGCGUGAAACCGCUCAAAGGUAAACGGGUGGAGUUGAACUGCGAGCCCUGAGAAUUCAGCCAGUGAGCGUGAUUUGAGCCUGGGCAUAUUGGUCGGCUGUCAGAGUUCACCAGUCAGGUGAGUCCGGCAACUUGUUGUCGGAUGUGUGUUUCGCUUUUCAUGGGUUGCACACUCUGUUCAGCUUCAGGCUCGUUUGCUGGUGCACUUUCUCAGGGUUAGCACCACGACCAGCUCGUCUGUCCGUCUGCUAUGGUUAAACCGUUCUGGCCGGGUUCUCGUAACCUUGUCUGAACGGGAUGGCAGGUAGCUUGAUGACUUGCAUUGAUCACGGUUGAUGCGUUUUAGUCUUCAAGUGUUAUCAGCUGACCAUGGUAGUUUUGCAUACGGUGCGGCGUGUUGGAGACUGCGGCUUGCAAUGUGUGCAUGCGUGCCAUGGAAUCCGACUGGCAUUCUCUGGGUCUGGUCAUUUUGUUUGCCUGUAAAUGCAGGCCUGGUGGUGGUCUGGAGAUGUUCGGUCGGCGGCUGCGUGUGUGACAUUAUUUUAGGGCCCAUAGUCUGUGGUGUAGUGGUAGACGGUCCACCCGACCCGUCUUGAAACACGGACCAAGGAGUUUAACAUGUGCGCGAGUCAUUGGGCGUUACGAAACCCAAAGGCGUAGUGAAAGUGAAGGUCCGACUCUGUCGUCUGGACUGAGGUGAGAUCCUGUCGUUUUGUUGUGCAUGGUGCCUCCAGGCAUUCGAGCGGCAGGCGCAUCACCUGCCCGUCCCAUGGUGUGAUCAUGUUAUUUCGGUAGUGUGCGUCACCGGGGCGGAGCUUGAGCGUACAUGUUGAGACCCGAAAGAUGGUGAACUAUGCUUGCGCAGGUUGAAGCCAGAGGAAACUCUGGUGGAGGACCGACAGCGA
rnacentral:rRNA from 1 species